CGGUGAUGAUCUGCGGGCAGAUCAAGUGCACGUGACAGUCGAUGGCGCCUGCGGUUAGGAUGCGCCCGUUGCCCUUAAUGAGAUCGGUCGACGCUCCGAUCACGAGGUCCCGAUGCACACCCGUCAUGAUGUCGGGGUUACCGGCCUUUCCGAUUCCGACGAUGCGGCCAUCCCGAAUUCCGAUGUCGGCCUUGAUGAUUCCCCAGUAGUCGAUGAUCACGGCGCCGGUGAUCACCGUGUCGGGAGCGCCCUCGGCCCGGCUCGCGAGUCCCUGCCCCAUGGACUCACGCAG
rnacentral:sRNA from 1 species